UAUUAAUCUUCCGUAGCAUUUUGAUCGGUGAUAAGAGGUGAGCUGAAUUAAACAGUUCGCUGCAAGGGGUGGCACGUAUUUUUCUUUCCCUCUCUUUCUCUUUUUUUCCCCAUCAGAGAUAUCCUAGUGAAUCCCGGCAGAGAUUUCGAGCCCCAAGCCAUCAAGAUUCAAAUCCUUGCAGCCACCACCUUUGUCACGCGGAGCUGCUACCAAACCUCGCUAGUGUCGCGGUUUGUUGGGAAAGUUUUAAAAGUGUAAUUCUUGCUGUGGUGCCAAACUUUUGGGAAAUAUGGAUCCAAGGACAUGGUAUUGCAAAAACAAUUGUAACUUGUAAAAAAAAUUGCUAAAAUCUUAUUAUAAGUACUUGAACUUUGUAAAUUCUGUAAAAUUUGAAUUCCCACGUUUCCAAUC